AACCGCUGUAUGCGAGACCCGCUUGUACAGUGGUGUGAGAGGCGCACCCCGUCAAUUAAUACUGGCGGGGCCGUCUACUCGAU
rnacentral:misc_RNA from 1 species